UUGGUUGGUGUGAGGGAAAGGAGUUUCACCAGUUUCCACUUUCUUUCAACACCCAUUUUUAAUUUGCCCCAGCUGCUUACUACAAAACCACUCCACUCGCUGUGCCCGAUUAAACCACAAAGGAAACAGACUUAAAUUCCACGUAGAAAGCUUCGCCGCUACUGGGCUUAAUCCUCAUCUUCCUCUUGAGAUGUCAAUACGUACUCUUACCCUCAUGAAGGUCUUCCAGAGGCCUUGCAAGUUAUCCUCGUUCCAGGGUGCUCACACUUGAAGAUGGUCCUAUGCAUUGUGUAUGGAGAGACACUAUGGUUUUUCUGUCAGAAUUAUAGAAACCUAUGUAGAUUGGCUAAAGUACGAUGCUGUGUUUCUGAAUUCAUUUGAAGCUAUGGAUAUACUGAAUUGGUAAGUAAGAAACAACUAGAAUACUAGCUAGCUAUUAUCAAUUCUUUUAAAAGAUAGGAUCCAUCUUGUUAUUGGCUAGGAUCCGUCAUAGGCUUUGCAUCCCUAUUUUGUCAACACUCUUUCCCAUUUGGUCAAUCAGAGGCUUUGGAAGUUUUGUUUUAACAUCACUUUGUAUAAGUUUUCUCAAUCUUUCUUAAAAAAAAGUGUUUUUCCUGUUUUUCUAGGAAAAAC